UGAAGACGAUUCGCAGGAAGAUUUCUCCAGCUUAACAGAAAAGGCCAACAUCGACAGCAUAAGAUUAGCAAGUUUUCUCCAACGAGCCACCCAGACAUGUUUAAUAUUAUUGGAAGAAUGCGUCAGUAAACAGACGAACGCUCUAUUCAAAGAAAAGAGAGAGAUGACUUGCAGUGAUGGCUUCCUGCAGCUAUCAACCAAGCACUCGUAUCUUGAAGGUCGGUCAGUACAAUAUGUUUACGUAUCCCCUGUGCAAUCCCACUUCUUGCUUAUUGCUUAUGCGCCGGUAUCAGACAAGAACAAAGCAAGUUCAAAGGUCAGCUUCAGGCAAUGCUCGCGCUGUAUAUCAUCAGGAUUGCUUUUUAUUUUGUUGUUUGUGUUUUCGUUUUUGUUUGGCUGGAUGCCAUGACCAGUAUAGAAGGUGUAUUCAGAAGAAAAUA